rnacentral:lncRNA from 1 species
GGGGCCGUUUAUUAAUCCUCACAGACGCAGGAAAAGACUCAACAGAUCUCAGCCAAAACUACUGGAGAGUGAGGGAAGAAGUAGUUUCUCUCAACCUCAUUAGUGACACGUACAGAAACCCCUCGAAAGCGUUGCCAACGGGGAGGAAGGAUUGAAACCCGUCCCCUUAGGACCCAUGCAGGCAGAGACCCUGGCGAGUGCAGUUUCCAGUCAGGGGCGCAGGAGCAGAGUUCCCAGAGACGACUGGAGACCUGGCCCGAAGCUAACAUCCGGGGCAUAAAUCUAUCAGAAGCCACAGUAACGCAGACCACAGGUGCCUUCAACAAGGGAGACAGGAGCUGUCAGCUGCAGGAAGUUUGAGUCUCAACCCCCCAUCUGCCUGAUGCCUCAUGGAGACAGGAGUGGGGUGGGUCUGUGCUGUUCUGCUGAGACCGCUGGCCUCCAGCCACUUCCUCAGGCCCAAAAUGGACACAAGCGGCUCUCCCUCACUGGACGCCGGGGAGGGACACAGACCCGCAGAGCCGAGUCACCGCUAACCUGACUCUCACUGCCGUGCGAGCUUCUCGGGGCUGCGGGCCCAGUCCCCAAACACUCAGACAUAAACAGUGCUCGGCCUGCUGGUUCCCCGGGAAGACACGGGCGUCUGCCUGGUUCGUGCAGAGCUCAGCGGAUGGACAGAGCCGCUGCGAAGUGGGUGGGUUAGGGAAAGAGAAAGGGU